GAUGAACGCUGGCGGCGUGCCUAAUACAUGCAAGUCGAGCGAACGGACGAGAAGCUUGCUUCUCUGAUGUUAGCGGCGGACGGGUGAGUAACACGUGGAUAACCUACCUAUAAGACUGGGAUAAUUUCGGGAAACCGGAGCUAAUACCGGAUGAUAUUUUGAACCGCAUGGUUCAAAAGUGAAAGACGGUCUUGCUGUCACUUAUAGAUGGAUCCGCGCUGCAUUAGUUAGUUGGUAAGGUAACGGCUUACCAAGGCAACGAUGCAUAGCCGACCUGAGAGGGUGAUCGGCCACACUGGAACUGAGACACGGUCCAGACUCCUACGGGAGGCAGCAGUAGGGAAUCUUCCGCAAUGGGCGAAAGCCUGACGGAGCAACGCCGCGUGAGUGAUGAAGGUCUUCGGAUCGUAAAACUCUGUUAUUAGGGAAGAACAUAUGUGUAAGUAACUGUGCACAUCUUGACGGUACCUAAUCAGAAAGCCACGGCUAACUACGUG
rnacentral:rRNA from 1 species